UAUAGGAGACUUAUAGAGAAUUAGAACAAUGAAGAGUGUACUUGCAAUAAUCCUGCUGUUUGUGUGUCUUGUUGGUAGGUUUACUUGCUAUAUAUAGUUCUGAAUGAUAUCCGUAAAUGCACAGUCAGUAAUGAUGACCAGAAAUCAAUGUAGACGAAUUGUUAAAGGCUGUAUGUCGAGGCAUUACAACAAGUCUGUGAGAGCAGACAGGAAUUGUAAUGACUGUUGCAGACGAUCGGGUUGUGCCCGUGGUGAUUGUAAACGCAGACAUUGUGAAUGUAAAAGAUGUUAGAGAGGAUAAAUAAUCGUCAUAUGUUACUGAAUUACAAUUAACUGUUUACGUACUAUGCUGAAUUCUCGUUAUAUUCGAGACAUUAUUUGGCGAUAUUAAAUAAAAAAAGUUAACGCAUUUCAA